UGCCAGCCGCCGCGGUAACACGGAAGGUGCAAGCGUUAUCCGGAAUCACUGGGUUUAAAGGGUGCGUAGGCGGCGUAAUAAGUCAGAGGUGAAAGCUCACAGCUUAACUGUGGAACUGCCUUUGAUACUGUUAUGCUUGAAUUAGGUUGAGGUUGGCGGAAUGAGUCAUGUAGCGGUGAAAUGCAUAGAUAUGACUUAGAACAUCGAUUGCGAAGGCAGCUGGCUAGACCUUAAUUGACGCUGAGGCACGAAAGCGUGGGGAGCGAACAGGAUUAGAUA
rnacentral:rRNA from 1 species